AUACUACUCUCUUUGUUUGGAAAUACUUAUCAAAAGAAAUGGAUGUAUCUAGACGUAUUGAAGUUUUAAAUACAUCUAUUUUUAUCCAUUACUUUAACAAGUAUUUUUGGACAGAGGGACUAACAG
rnacentral:pre_miRNA from 1 species